GGGAUCUUAGCUCAAUAGGUAGAGCAUAUGACUUUUAACCAUUAGGUUACAGGUUCGAGUCCUGUAGAUCUUA
rnacentral:tRNA from 1 species